rnacentral:rRNA from 1 species
CCCUUAGAUGUUCUGGGCCGCACGCGCGCUACACUGAUUCAUGCAACGAGUUUUGUCCUUGGCUGAAGGGCCUGGGUAAUCUUUGAACGUGAAUCGUGCUGGGGAUAGAUGAUUGCAAUUAUUCAUCUUCAACGAGGAAUUCCUAGUAAACGCAAGUCAUCAGCUUGCAUUGAUUACGUCCCUGCCCUUUGUACACACCGCCCGUCGCACCUACCGAUUGAAUGGUCCGGUGAAAUCUUCGGAUCUGAGAGAUGUUGGAUUAAUUUCUGACGCCUUUUGGAAAAGUUGCUUAAACCUUAUCAUUUAGAGGAAGGUGAAGUCGUAACA